CGCAAAUCCCGUUCUAGUUCUGAGGACCUUGCUGAUAUAGGCCGGUGGGAUGAACCGUAGCCGUCGGAUCGAUCAAAUGAUGUUAAUGGACGAAGAUUAUUACUCCUCAAAGUUGGUUUAUCCUCGAUCCACGAACUUUUUUUCUAAUUGGUCAAGGGGGAGGGCUCCCGCCCUAGGGGCCUAGAGUGGGUGCUCUGAAUGUGGACCCUCUCGCUUUCUCCUUCAUUCGGGUGCCUUCCUGACCCGUCUAGACUAUUCUUUUUCAUAUGUUGCGUAGAUAUCUCAUUUAUCUCUUUGUAAUCAUAACAUGUAGACCUCCUUUGGUUAUUUUCCGAUCACCCCCUACAAAAAUAGAUAUUCACCAAAACUCGUGGAAUUCUGUCAGUGUACCCCUAGUUCUAUGUUGGUGAUUGCUUUUAUGCCCUUAUUUCAUUCUCUUGUUGAUAUAAAAAAUGAUAGUUAUCUACUAUCAACAAUCUCCCCCAAGCUUACCCUUUGCUCGUCCCUAAGCAAAGAUAAACUCGGUGAUGGAUUAGGAGUUGCUGCAAUGCUUUCACGCCUUAAAAGUACACAUGCGUUCAAACAAGAAUUCUCCUUAGGAUUAGAGUAAACUAUUUUGACUUCAAACUUACCCAUUUUACCUUCUACCAUGGGGCUUGUAGACGUUACGUAGGUUUUGAGCAGUUGAAAGAUAGAACGGUUAAGUCAAGCACUAUGUCUCUAGCUCAUCGAUCAACCUUCAUUCUAGAGUUUUUGUGGAUUUUCAAAUAAAACUCUGAGAUUCCUAUGUAUAACCCUCUCAAGUCUCUCAUAUGUGGUAUUUGUGGAUCCUUACCAAGGCAUUAAUGAUGUAUGCCUUCUCUUAUCUCUCAAGAUAUGUGGUAUUUUUGGCAUUAGGCAUAGUAGCAUUGUGCCCUCUCUCUCACCCUAUAACUAAUAAGCUUAUGUGGAGCUCAUAUGUGGGAAGACAACUUAUACAUACUUGCAAACAUGUAUUGUUAAGUCAAACAAUGGAUCCAGAGAAACAAGUCAUACAAUCAAAUUAAGAUGUGCAUGUAUGUGGGAUACGGUGGAUGGUGGUAAUGGUAGGUGUAAGUGGUUAUGAAGGGGUGUAUAUGAUGGUAAUGGUGAAGCCCUAAUUCUACUUUUGCUCCUUAAAGAAAUACGUACCUCUCUUUUGAACUUGAAGACUUUGGGAGAACCUAGGUUGCUCACAAUCUCUCAAUCUCUCUUUUCUUUUUUUUAAUUGGGACUUUGUCCUCUUUUUUUCUUUCUUCUUCUUUUUUCUUCAAUGAGCACCCAAGCCUCAGUUUACUCGAUUUUUUAGCUAAAAACGCACGCUUCAUGGCCACCGGUGCUUGAACCCCCGUAAUCCUCCUUCAUGUCUUGAACCCCUAACCAUUCCACCUAUAACCUAUUUAUCUCCAAAUGAGAUUUUCGUCCUAGCCAUUUUAUGUUCAUUUUAUUUCAAAACGAAUACUUAGAAUCUUGGAUGAAUUCAAAUAAAAAAGUUAUCAACUACAAAGUUUUGUAACUUUUAGAGAUCUUUAACUUUUAUUUUGGUACUUUCUCCAUUCGAGGUAAUUUAUAAAAUUUCAAUUUUCAAUUUGAGACAUUCAGAUGUAGCUUCCCAUGACAAGGUGAUUUCAAAUGGAAAUAUUAUCAACUACAGACUUGCAUAAAUUUUUGGGGUCUACAAUUUUUGUUUCGGGUGUUUAUCUAUUCGAGGUUGUUUUGAAAAUUCAGAUUUUAAAUUUAAGAUAUCGAAAUUAAUUAUUGUUAGAAAAAUGAUUACAAAUAAAACAUCUGAACAUCUAAAUUAUCUCUUUAAACUAUAAAGUUGUAGAUCUCGUCGAGUACUACAACUUUGAGAUAAAGUUCAUCUUUAUCGGGCGACAUAUGAAAAACAUAUAAAAUUUUCUUGCAGCAUCACCGUUGGUUCAAUCCAUGAACCGACAGUGAUAGUAUCAAUGUUGGUUCUUGGCUAAACUGGAAAUGAUGACCCAUUAUCACCGCAGGUUCUUGGCUAAACCGAUGGUGUUGUGAACCGACAGUGAAGACCCGAAUAUCACUAUCGGUUGGACCUAUCACUGCCAGUUGAAGCCAAAAAUCAACAGUGAUGUACCAUGACAGGCUAUCGUCCCUGCCGGUUUCUGGUAGUAAUGAAGUACAGUAACGGUUCCAAAGUAACCAGCAUCGAUUAUUGUUUCUGGUGUCUUCUAUUUUCCUUGGCUAGCACCUCUUGCUUGAUUGCACUUUUGUCUUGAACUCAAAUACUUCCUUGAGGAACCCAAUCCAUAUUUCUCUCUUUGAUCUUUUAUGCACUAAGCUUCUAUAGCUUUCUCUUUUGGCAUAUUGAUUGUGGACAGCGGCAAUUCUGCCUAGAUUUUUGGUAACUCCAAUUCUUUUAUUUCAGAUUUAGCAUCUUAUUAAAUUAUCAAUAACUACAUUAUCUAUGCUCUUGAUAUUAUUAGCCAAAGUUUGCAACACAUUGAUAGGCAUUUGUUCAGUGAAUUUAGACUUUAUCAUUCAUUUUUGCGGCCAUCCUUUUUUACUUAAUAAACUUGUUUGACCGCUCUUUCUCGUUUAUUUUGUAUCAGCUUUGGACCGAUUCUUUCAAUCAAAAUGGCCUCUGAUAUGAUAAUGCUAUUCAUCAGAGAAUGGCCUUCUUAGAGCUGCAUAUACUUAUGUGGAUUCCUCUCGCAUGCUUGCUCUACCCUGGUUGUUGAAGGUCCAUGGAUAUAAUUAAUGUCUAGUACCAUUUUAAUAGAAAAUAUGAUGAAAAAUAUAAUAGGCAGGAUACAGAACAUCUGACAAAAAGGCUUCAAGAGACUACAUAUCACCAAGUAAACCUGUAUAUUAUUCAUCUCUAAUCGACAAAAAGUAUCAUGUAUAUUCAUCUCUAAUCGACAUGGCUCUAGGCGAACGCAUCAGUCGAGGAUUCGAUGCCUCGGUUGCAGCUGGGGAUCUCAGUGAAGGCACUGACUGGGAAUGACAGAGUGUUGUUCCCUAGCUGGAUCUUGAGCUGCUUGCCUGCACGAGUGACUUCGUGCAAAACGUGCCAAACAAAUUCCACCUGCACACUCACCCCAGAUACACUGCUAAUGGAUCCUGACUUGAUAACCCCGUUUACUUCGGUAGCGUACACAAACUCGAAUUUCCUACCGGAGAAUGUGACAAAUGCGUUACACUCACUGGACAAUUUCACAUCCAAAGCUCCACCGGCACCAAGCACAUAGGAUUGCACACCAAGUGGUAGGAGGCCCUGCGGCAAGUUGUUCAGCUCCAACAGGUGAUAUACUGACCCGGCAGGGUUAAUCUGUAUGAUUCUUGCAUAAGUGGCUCGGAGCAUCAAAGCAAUGAUGGUGGCCACAAGAAUGAGGAGUUGCUUCGCCAUGGCUGGAUCGAGCUUAUUAGGCUCUAGUGAUGUGAUCAAGUCGAACCAAAGAGAGUUUAGAUGUCAGAGCUGGCCCUGGAUUUGUUUAUAUAAUAUGUGGCCAGCCAAAUCUAAAUCAGUAAAACUUUAAUUACAUUUGUUGCUGCCUGAAUAACAUUCCAAGAGUAAAAUUAAAUGCUCCCUAUUUUUUUAUAAAGGAAAUAAAUUAAGCCUAUAUGCAUCACAGUAGAUAAUAAGAAGUUAAUGCACGAAACAUAUCAGGCUUUAUUUAUGUCUGUAUAAUUUUGAGUACUUAAAUUCGUUGAAACUCUCCCAUCAUUAAUUAAGGGUAAUUUGUAGGGUUAAUUCAAAACAUCCUAUUAUAAAUGUCAUAGUUUGCAGAAGCACCAUUGUUAAUAGCGUAGUUUCAAACAUGUCCUUAUAAUUGGCUAUCAACUUGAACUGUACCAACUUUGUAGGCUACAUGCUUUGACCAAAAAUAAUUGCACAUCUCACUCUUUAAGAAGUCAAAACUUUUUAAAUUUGGACUAAAUUUAUAUAAACUAUUAUUAACAGUUGUAUGUCCAAAUAUGUUUAUUAUAAAAAGAGUAAAAUACAUCGGCGCCCUUUUAACUUGUCGUCUUGUGCCACUUUGGUCCAUGAACUUGCAAACGCGAAAAACAGGCCCCUAAACUUGUCAUCAUGUGCCACUUUGGUCCAUGAACUUGCAAACGCGAAAAUGUGCCCCCUAAACUUGUCGACGUGUGCCACUUUGGUCCAUGAACAUGCAAAUACGAAAAUAACACCGGCUGCAUGGCACUGUUCUGCCAUGUGACUGCCUCUGGUAGGUCAUGCAGGCACCGUUUAUGGUGCUGACGUCAGCGAUGAUGUCAGCACUUCUUUUUUAAUUUACGAAAUUGAUAUAUUUUUAUUCGUAGCGUCAAAUAUAUCAAAUAAUAUAUCAAUUCGUUGAAUUUAUUAAUUAAAAGAGAUAAUUUUAAAACAAGCAAAAAUUAUUCGUUUUCUAGGUUUCAUAUUUUUCUCGGGAAAAGUACACAUGAAGAGGCUACACAAAAUAUUUCAUGAAUUUAGCAUUUCAUUAAUAAUUAGUUAUGAAAUAAAUAAAUAUUUGUUGACGCGCUGAAUGAGCCUUUACACGUUUAUGGACCAAAGUGGCACAGGCCGACAAGUUCAGGGGCUACUGUUUUGCGUUUGCAAGUUCAUAGACCAAAGUGGCACAGACGGACAAGUUCAGGAGUCACUUUUUCGAGUUUGCAAGUUCAUGGACCAAAGUGGCACAGACUGACAAGUUAAAGAGCCGCCAGUGUAUUUUACUCUUAUAAAAAUAUAUUCCCACAAUUAAACCAAUAUUUAUUAUGUAUCAUAAAUAUUAAUAUAAUUUCAUAUAUAUAUAUUUGGUCAAAUUUUAGAAGUUAACAUUUUUUAAAAAUCUAGACGUGUAGUUAUUUUGGGAUAUAUUGAGGGAGUAUGUUGUGUCAAAAAUAGGUGCCGUUAUUUGUUAAGAUCAAAUUGACAACAAAUACAAAGCCCAUUGCCUAACCCACCGAGUCCAUCCCAGUUGGAGAAGCCACAGCGCUGUCGGCGCCUCAUUUCUGCUGCAGGCAUUACCACACUGUUGGAAGCCACUGCCGUACUGAAGCUAUCUCCUCACCCGUGAUGUUGUGCCCUGUCUUCAUUGUGUGGGAUCCGUGAGAAGCUCGUCGGUGGCGGAUCUUCAUUGUGCACGCAUGCGCAUCCCCGCCGCCAUGGCCCGUAGACAUGGCUCUAGCGCCACAGCGUCACCUGCGGCUCCCCUAGCGUUGAAUCGGCCCGCACCGCCGCCAUGUCCUCAUCAUAUCAAUAUGGCAUGAGAUCCACAGCCACCUGUUAGACUUUAAGUGUUGCAAUCAAGCUUUGUAAUCUCGUGUUAGUUAGAUCAGGGUGUCAUGCUAGAGGAGUCCUAGCGUGGUUAGAGUUACAUGUAGCCAAAGUCAUGCUGGGUAUGUCAAGCUUGAGUUGGAGUCUGUAUUUGCCACAUCGUGGCGUGUUAGGCGCAUGUAACGGGGAUAGUAAGGAAACGGUAUCCUGUUCCUAUACGGCACGGCGUGGGAGCCUCGUGGCUAUAUAUAUCAAAUAAAGAUAUCAUGAGGGGCUGCGGUUAGGCAGUAAAACCAUACCAUACUUGCCUGUGUUUUUGCUUCUCUAGUUUCAAUCUGUUAAGUGGUGAUCGCAGUCACCACGUCGCCGGUGAACUCGACGUUCUAGCAUCGUUUCGAUCCAACAAUUGGUAUCAGAGCCAAAGGGGGACGUUCAUUGGAGGCGAGAGGUUGUAGAGGAGGCAGAAGCAAGCCAUUCAUCUCGAAGCGCAAGGGGCUAGGCAGAACGAAGCGUGAUCACCAUGGGCGACGGCAAGGCUGACAUUGACAAGACGUUAACCCCGACUGAAAAUUUGACGUGGCCAGUCCUAACCCGAUCAAAUUAUCAAAAUUGGGCGUCUCAUAUUCAGUGUAAUCUUGAAGGGUUAAAUCUUUGGGAUGCCAUCGAGAUGGGUGAGAAGGCAGAGAGACGUCAAGAUCGGUUGGCGUUGGGUUCUAUGCUCCGGGGCGUGCCAACAGCGAUGCACUCCAUGCUGCCCAACAAGAAGACGGCUAAAGAAGCUUGGGAGGCUAUCAAGACUAUGCGUCUUGGGACGGAUCGCUUGAAGAAAGUCAAUGCACAAAAGCUCUUAGGCGAGUUUGAGGCGAUGACAUUCAAACCCGGAGAGUCUAUUGACGAUUUUGCGCUUCGCAUAACCAAGCUGGUUACUGAUCUGCGCGGUCUCGGUGAGGAGAGCGUGACUGAUACAAGGAUGGUGAAGAAGUUCUUACGUGUUGUGCCAUCAAAGUAUUCUCAGGUGGCAGUGGCUGUUGAGAUGGUAAAAGAUCUCAAAACUCUCACCAUUGAAGAUUUGGUGGCGCAUCUUAGGGCGGCUGAGGAAAGACUUGAAUCAUCCGUUGAUCAGGUUGCAGAGAAGGCUACAAAGCUUUUGUUGAUGAAGGAGAAGUGGGCUGCGCGAAACAAAGCUCGGAUGAUAUCUGAAUCAUCUGGAUCAGGUUUCAAGGGUGGUGGUGGAGGUCAUCAGGCCCAUGACAAGAAGCACCGGAAGCGUUCCAACAAAGGUGGCGAUGGUGUGGCGAGGGACUCUGGAUCCUCUUCUCAGAACACGCCAAAGAGGAGGGGCAAGUGCGGGAAGUGUGGGGCUUAUGGACACUGGCACAAGGAGUGCCCAAGGCGUAAAGCACAAGGGGACAAGCAGGAGGUAGCUCAUCACGUGAACAAUGAAGGGGAUAAUGGAGCACUAUUGGUUGCUCAGGUGUGCAACGUGGUGCGCACCACCGCGGUAGGAGGAAACAACGUGUUUUUAAAUCAAGAACGUGUAUUUCCAUCCACCUAUGAUGUAAGAACCUGGGUGCUUGAUACUGGAGCCACCAACCAUAUGACAGGUUGUCGAGAGUCUCUGGCAUCUUUGGAUGAAUCAGCGAAAGGAGUUGUCAGAUUUGGGGAUGGCUCAAGGGUGGAAAUCUGUGAGAUGGGGGCAGUCACAAUCGCCGGGAAACAUACAGAUCACCGUGUUCUCACCGAAGUAUAUUAUAUACCUUCACUCCGAUGUAACAUAGUUAGUCUCAGUCAGUUGGAGGAGGCUGGAUGUCGAGUAGAAAUCGAUAGAGGUGUGAUGACGAUAUAUGAGUGAAGUAAAGGGCAAUUGAACUUGCUGAUCAAGGCUAAAAGGAAAAACCGGCUGUAUGUCAUGUCAGUAAAUAUGACGUCCCCGAUUUGUUUACUAUCGAAGAUGGAUGAAGCCGGAUGGUUGUGGCAUGCUCAGUUUGGGCAUCUUAACUUCAGGUCACUUCAUGACCUAGGCUCCAAGAAGAUGGUGGAUGGUAUUCCUUUGAUACAGCAAGGUGAACAGGUCUGUGAUGGUUGUGCUCUUGGCAAACAUCAUCGCAAACCGUUUCCACUGGCGACUGCAUAUCGGGCAACCAAGGGGCUCGAGCUGGUGCAUGGAGAUCUCUGCGGGCCGGUGACACCGUCAACCCCGGGUGGCAAGUUAUACUUCUUGCUGGUAGUUGAUGAUUUUAGUCGCUACAUGUGGGUGGAAUUCUUGAAAACAAAAGAUAAGGCAUUUGAGAGUUUCAAGAAGAUACAAGUAGCAGCAGAGAUGGAAUCAGGUCUGAAACUGAGAGCGCUCAGAACAGACUGAGGAGGGGAAUUUAAUUUAGGUGCGUUUAUAGUUUAUUCCAAUGCUCAUGGCAUAAGACACAAUACUACUGCACCCUAUACACCACAGCAAAACGACGUUGUCGAGAGAAGGAAUCAGUCUGUGGUGGAAAUGACAUGAUGUUUGCUCAAAUCAAAACAAGUGCCGGGGCGUUUCUGGGGUGAAGCAGUAUAUUUGCUGAACCGAGCACCUACUAAAAGCCCAAAUAAAAUGACACCCUAUGAAGCUUGGUAUGGGAAGAAACCAAGUGCGCGACAUAUGAAGACCUUUGGUUGCAUGGCCUAUGCAAAGAAGGUUGGACCGGGUGUGACCAAGCUCGAAGACAGGACAGUACCUGGUAUUUUCCUUGGGUACGAACCAUAUUCAAAAGCGUAUCGGGUUUAUGAUCCGGUGAAACAACGACUCAUGAUCUCAAGGGAUGUUAUUUUCGAUGAGAAGAAGAGCUGGACUUGGGGGGUGAGUGGAACAAACACAGCAUCGGACGUACAAGAAUCAGAGGAAGCAGUGUUCAGUUGGCCUGAAAACAUUACUGUUGCCGAUCCGACAAUAGACGGGGCGGCUGAUUCAGACAGUGGAAGUUUAGAAGCAGGAGCUGCGAGCGAUUCUGCUAGAGCUGCUGUGGUACCCGGUUCACCUGUUCCACCAACUCCAUCUCUUGGUACUUCAUCAUCGACGGGUGGCACACCUGGAACCUCGGCAAGUGGGGCACCGGCACAAAUACAAUGGGCCACGCCACCCACUGGAGCUAAGGAAGAUUUAGAAGGAGUACCACUCUGGUAUCGUCCAGUACCAGAUUUGCUAGAGUCAACUGUGCCCUUUUAGUUGGAGUAUAGUGGCUUGUGUCUCAUUGCAACUGAGGAACCAAAUUCAGUGGAGCAGUCUCUAACCGAGAAUUGCUGGAGAGAUGCAAUGCAGACCGAGAUACAGGCAAUAGAGGCAAACCAGACUUGGGAAGUCAGUGAGCUCCCAAGGAAUCACAAGGCGAUUGGUCUCAAAUGGGUGUUCAAGGUAAAGAAGGACCCAGAGGGCAAUGUUGUGAAAUAUAAGGCAAGGUUGGUCGCAAAGGGCUAUGCACAGCGCCAUGGUCUGGAUUUUGAUGAAGUCUUUGCACCUGUUGCCAGAAUAGAGACAGUGAAGGUAUUGUUGGCUCUUGCAGCGCACAGUGGAUGGGAGGUGCAUCAUAUGGACGUCAAGUCUGCAUUCUUGAAUGGAGACCUCUGGGAAACCGUCUAUGUGCAACAGCCUCCGGGUUUCAUUGUUGGCAAGGGAGAUAAGGUGAGAUUGAGAAAAGCACUGUAUGGCUUACGACAAGCACCGCGUGCAUGGAACUUCAAGCUUGAUAAGGAGUUGUCUGCUCUUGGUUUUGUCAGGAGUAAACUUGAUAAUACCGUAUAUAAGCGAAGUAGCAAGGAUUCUCUUCUAAUUGUGAUUGUGUAUGUUGAUGAUCUUAUCAUCUUGGGGCCAAAGAUUGAAGACAUUAAUCGAUUCAAGGUAGAGAUGAAAUUGAAGUUCAACAUGAGUGAUCUCGGUCUUCUCAGUUAUUACUUGGGAAUUGAAGUAAACAGGGAAAAGGAGGAAUAACAUUGAGCCAAGUAGCUUAUGCGGUCAGGAUACUUGAUAAUGCAGGCAGGGAGCACUGUAAUCCUUGUGACACGCCGAUGGAGCCACGGUUCAAACUCACAAAGGGAAAAGAAUCUGUAGCUAUGAAUGUGACGGCAUACAUGAGUUUAAUUGGAAGUCUCAGGUACCUGGUAAACACCAGACCAGACCUAGAUUAUGCGGUUGGGGUGGUAAGCAGGUACAUGGAAGCUCUUGGAAAAGCACACUGGGCUGCAGUCAAACAAGUGUUGAGAUAUAUAAAGGGCACCACAGGCUAUGGAUGUAGUUAUGAGAAAGGAACAUAUUUGAAAUCGAUCUUGCUAGGUUUCAGUGACAGUGAUUUUGCUGGAGAUUCAGAGGAUAGGAAGAGC
rnacentral:lncRNA from 1 species